UGUGCGCAUUGAUUGUAUAGUCUUUAUUGGAUUACAAUAUAAUCAACAAAACUCUGAAAUAAAAACGAUGGAAGAAGAAUGUGAACUAUACAGGAUUUGCAGCUUGUGUGGUGCUGCUGCUUUAGGGGGCGCAAUAACGGCUUCAGUCCCUACGACCACCUGACCAACAGAGACGAUAUCCCUCUGUACACCACCCACAGCCGCUUUGAAGGGCCCAACGGGAGACCAUCCGAAGAAAUGAACAACCCGAUGACGAGCCGGAGAGGGAUGUACACGGUCAACAGUGACACUUGAUGGCCCAUUGACUGACUGAAACAAGACCAACAAUGAACAAAAUCAUAAAAAGACUCCAAACAGGCUUUUUAAAAAAGAAUUGCGGGCUGUUUUGAACAUCUGGCAUAAUUACUGUUUAUCUCGUUAUAUAUUAUUUUCUGUCUCCGAAGCACCGAGGAGCUCCGUACUUUAAAAAAAGCAAAUAAACAAUGACAACAAUUUACUGUAAGGAAGAUGCUACAACCGACACC